rnacentral:lncRNA from 1 species
UGUAAUUUCAGCAAGAAUUAUAUUUAUAUAAAAUUUCCUACAAGGCACAUCACGUUGCAUAACCCUUCAGAAUGAUUGAUAUUCCGCAAUAAUACUACGAGACAAUAUAAGCUUCAAUUCAUGCGGCAAAAUAUCAUUUGCAGGCCCUGUUCUAAUUUGUCAAUUGUUUCUUCAUAGCUAGUCACGAGAAGAAAUGACAUGAACUAACUUCAAAAUUGAUUGCAAUGGUAAUGUAGAUAUGUGAAAGUACGAAGGAAAGGAGUCAGCAACAAUAUUAAGUCAAAAUUCACUAAGCAUAUGCCCGUGAUAGAAAAACGAUCUCAUAGUCUAUAUUGAGGAGUAAGGAAAGGGCUUCCACCAGAAUGAGGUCUUUCUUUCAUGCGCUUGGGCUUUCUUUGAUGAUGGGUAGGCCUGUUGUGUUUUGGACAUUCUGUGGGCUUUCGAGUAUGCACUCACAUCAAAUUUGACCCCAAAAUUAUGUAUCACGAGUGCGAAAGCCUGUAUAAAUCAAUGAGCUCUUCAAAGCUACAGGAGACACAGGUAAUAAUAUACCUUGUAAAACAUCAAUGAAUCUUGCAGUGAAACACUUGUGUUUCAGGGAAUUGAAAUAAAAUCAAAUCUAAAUGUCUCACUUUCCCCGUGUCUUUAUACAAGAAAAAUUGCUUUUAUUCUACAAUAGAUAAAUUGCUGUAGAACUUGAAAUCAAGUACUAAAACUGAACAACAAUGUUUACGUUCACAUAUUAAUAUAGGGAUCAACUCUCUCAUGAACGCACCACUUUCUUAAAACAAUUUCAAAUAUAAGGUACAUAUCAGCCUCUCACCAAACAAGAAGAAACUAAAGCAGUCCUUCAUUUAGUCUAGACCUAUAUAACAAUCAAAUACAUUCUCAACUACAGAUUCUGAAUGAUAAUGAAAAAAGAGAACAAAAAUUUCACGACAUCCUUUCCAUUAUGUUUUCCAACUAAAAUUCUUUCUAAAUUGUAAAGGCUAUGAAAACCUCAAUGAAAUACAUAAUCCCACUCAGACUAACCUGAUUCCCAUCAACAUCUCCACUACCCAAAAAUCAAUUCCCCUAUUACAUAUCACAUCGAAAACCUCCAGCUUCUCGCACUUGAAAUGAAAUGCAUGCAAAACAUCUAUUCAAGGAAAUAACUUCUGCAAGCAUAGCAAAUAGACAAAUAGAUCAUGUUUAAAUCACAAGUAUGUAUACAUUUCCGUGCAUAUUGUAACAAACAAGUUAAUUAAGGCAAUGUAUCAAACAUAUAACGAGCAAACAAAUUGAACUUCCACUUCUCAUAUAAUAAUCUGAUUUCAGAUAAAAUUAAGAAAGACCAAAUUAAAAAUAAUGGGUGAAAUCUAAUCUUUUGACCAAAAUUUAUAACUUACGCAGUUUUGAAGACUUCAAAGGAAACAAAAAGGUGAAUAUGGCUAUUGGUAUAGUAGAAAACUCAAACAACAUUUGGAUUAAGCAAAAAGUUUCGUCUUUCUGCAAUUUUUCGAGCCUCUACAUACACAGAAAAACUUAACCCAAAGUCACAGAUGUUAACAAUUUAGAAAGAUAGCACAUUGUACUUACCUUGUGUGAUCCUUCCUGUUUCAGGACGAAUUUGACAAUGGCAUGUUCAUUAAUAAUAAACUGAAAUUGAAAGAAAUCAUUGCAGGAACGUUGACAAAUUAUAUUGUUCUAAAUAGAACUAACCAUCAAACAACAAUCUUAGCAGCCUUCUGAGGUAUAAUUUGGUGUUGUCAAUGAAAAUGUAUUAAGGCGUCAAAAAGAUCCAAGGCAUCAUUUGGCAAAGUUUGGAUAUAAACCCCAUAUAAACAACAAUAUUUUUAAUUUUUCAACAUGGAUUAUUUGGAAUACAAAACUUCUCUAAAAUCUAUAAAAUCAAACAAGAAUGUAUGAACACCAAAAAAUCAAAGUGUAGAUUUAAAAGUUCAUUUCUAUUAGACUAUUACAUAAACUUCUCCAAUAGACCUGCGAUAAAUAUAUAUACUUUAUACAGAUUAUAAAUGUCCAUGUUGGAUGGAACAAAGUACUUGGUCUUUCAAGAUUUAUGGCACAAGUUAAUAUAUACUUAAAUAAACUAUUGCAAUCAACGACAACAGUAACCCGCGCUUGCACUGCAGCUAAAAAAAUCAGAAAAUCUAGACAAAAGGAAAAAAUUGAAGGCAUGAGAAUUAUACUUACGGAUACAUGUCGCAAUUCCUUCAAAUUUCUUUCAAUAAUCAAGAGAAAAAGAGAAACGGAAACAGCGCUGAAUAGUGCAGUUGAUUAAAUCGGAAUUCUCAGAUCGUUGAAGGAAUUUCUUUCAAUUUCUUCAAAGGUUGCUAAAUGAAGAAACAGCGCUGCAGUCGCCAAUUGGAUUUGAGAGGGAUUUUGUUUCGCUUCUUUUCUACUAUGGAGUGAGAAAGUUAUAAAUGGC